rnacentral:rRNA from 1 species
CGAUGAUUAUCUAGCUUGCUAGAUAUGAUUAGUGGCGGACGGGUGAGUAACAUUUAGGAAUCUGCCUAGUAGUGGGGGAUAGCUCGGGGAAACUCGAAUUAAUACCGCAUACGACCUACGGGUGAAAGGGGGCGCAAGCUCUUGCUAUUAGAUGAGCCUAAAUCAGAUUAGCUAGUUGGUGGGGUAAAGGCCCACCAAGGCGACGAUCUGUAACUGGUCUGAGAGGAUGAUCAGUCACACCGGAACUGAGACACGGUCCGGACUCCUACGGGAGGCAGCAGUGGGGAAUAUUGGACAAUGGGGGCAACCCUGAUCCAGCCAUGCCGCGUGUGUGAAGAAGGCCUUUUGGUUGUAAAGCACUUUAAGCAGGGAGGAGAGGCUAAUGGUUAAUACCCAUUAGAUUAGACGUUACCUGCAGAAUAAGCACCGGCUAACUCUGUGCCAGCAGCCGCGGUAAUACAGAGGGUGCGAGCGUUAAUCGGAAUUACUGGGCGUAAAGCGAGUGUAGGUGGCUCAUUAAGUCACAUGUGAAAUCCCCGGGCUUAACCUGGGAACUGCAUGUGAUACUGGUGGUGCUAGAAUAUGUGAGAGGGAAGUAGAAUUCCAGGUGUAGCGGUGAAAUGCGUAGAGAUCUGGAGGAAUACCGAUGGCGAAGGCAGCUUCCUGGCAUAAUAUUGACACUGAGAUUCGAAAGCGUGGGUAGCAAACAGGAUUAGAUACCCUGGUAGUCCACGCCGUAAACGAUGUCUACUAGCCGUUGGGGUCCUUGAGAC